ACAACUUUCAGCAAUGGAUCUCUUGGCUCUUGCAUCGAUGAAGAACGCAGCGAAAUGCGAUAAGUAAUGUUGAAUUGCAGAAUUCAGUGAAUCAUCGAAUCUUUGAACGCACCUUGCGCUCCUUGGUAUUCUGAGAGCAUGUCUGUUUGAGUUGUUCAUUA
rnacentral:rRNA from 1 species